rnacentral:rRNA from 1 species
AAAACUCCCUUGACGGUACUUAAUGAAUAAGCCCCGGCUAAUUAUGUGCCAGCAGCCGCGGUAAUACAUAAGGGGCGAGCGUUAUCCGGAAUUAUUGGGCGUAAAGGGUGCGUAGGCGGUUUAAUAAGUCUAUAGUUUAAUUUCAGUGCUUAACGCUGUUGUGCUAUAGAAACUGUUUUACUAGAGUGAGUUAGAGGCAAGCGGAAUUCCAUGUGUAGCGGUAAAAUGCGUAAAUAUAUGGAGGAACACCAGAGGCGUAGGCGGCUUGCUGGGACUUUACUGACGCUGAGGCACGAAAGCGUGGGGAGCAAACAGGAUUAGAUACCCUGGUAGUCCACGCCGUAAACGAUGAGUACUAAGUGUCGGGUAAAACCGGUACUGAAGUUAACACAUUAAGUACUCCGCCUGAGUAGUACGUACGCAAGUAUGAAACUUAAAGGAAUUGACGGGACUCCGCACAAGCGGUGGAUCAUGUUGUUUAAUUCGAAGAUACACGAAAAACCUUACCAGGUCUUGACAUUUUCUUGCGAAGUUAUAGAAAUAUAAUGGAGGUUAUCAGGAAAACAGGUGGUGCAUGGUUGUCGUCAGCUCGUGUCGUGAGAUGUUAGGUUAAGUCCUAAAACGAGCGCAACCCUUGUCGUUAAUUGCCAGCAUGUAAUGAUGGGGACUUUAACGAGACUGCCAAUGAAAAAUUGGAGGAAGGUGGGGAUUACGUCAAAUCAUCAUGCCCCUUAUGAUCUGGGCUACAAACGUGAUACAAUGGUUGAUACAAAGAGUAGCUGAAACGCGAGUUCUUAGCCAAUCUCACAAAAUCAAUC